rnacentral:rRNA from 1 species
UACGUAGGUGGCAAGCGUUUGUCCGGAAUUAUUGGGCGUAAAGCGCGCGCAGGCGGUCCUUUAAGUCUGAUGUGAAAGCCCACGGCUCAACCGUGGAGGGUCAUUGGAAACUGGGGGACUUGAGUGCAGAAGGAGGAAAGCGGAAUUCCACGUGUAGCGGUGAAAUGCGUAGAGAUGUGGAGGAACACCAGUGGCGAAGGCGGCUUUCUGGUCUGUAACUGACGCUGAGGCGCGAAAGCGUGGGGAGCAAACAGG